UCAGCCACUUCUGACAGAUGUGACACUUCCUUGCAUUUGAUGUUUGUCGGGUUCGAGGACAUGUGGAGACAAAUGGUGCUCUGAUCUGCAGGGAAGGAAUGCCAACUCUCACCCCAGCUGCAAACUGAGGCCAAAAGCCUGAGCUGACCGGGGGAUCAAAGGGUUGCAGGGGCAGCAGUCUCAGCAAAGACGUUCAGACUUCCCUCUCCCCAGACACCUCCUCCAGGUCCUCUGGUGGAAGUCCGAGGCAUUUCCAGGCCACCCGAGAGACAUAGUCCCUCCAGCAUGUCCUGGGCCGUCCCCUGGGCCUCCUCCUGGCGGGACCUGGAACACCUCUUGAGGGAGGCUUUCAGGAGGCAUCCGGAAUAGAUGCCCGAGCCACUUCAGCUGACUCCUCUGAAGGUGGAGGAGCAGCGGCUCUACUCCAAGCUCCUCCCGGAUGUCAUCAAGGACUCAGAUCUAAAUGUUAACAUCCACAUCUGACAUCCACUUUUAUUACUAAAUCAAUCUUCAAUUUUUUUUAAAACAUUGCCAAAAUAAAGU